rnacentral:rRNA from 1 species
UUAAAAGGAGAUGUGCAAGCAUUGAAUUGAAGCCCCAGUGAACGGCGGCCGUAACUAUAACGGUCCUAAGGUAGCGAAAUUCCUUGUCAGGUAAGUUCUGACCCGCAUGAAAGGCGUAAUGAUUUGGGCACUGUCUCAACAGCCCGCCCGGCGAAAUUGUAGUACCGGUGAAGAUGCCGGUUACCCGCGACAAGACGGAAAGACCCCAUGGAGCUUUACUGUAGCCUAAUAUUGGGUUUCGAUGUUGCAUGCACAGGAUAGAUGGGACUCUUGGAAACCAAGGCUUUGGCUUUGGCGGAGAGGCCGUUGGGAUACCAUCCUUGCGAUAUUGGAAUUCUAACCUGCGGCUCUGAAUCGAGUCGGGGGACAUUGUUAGGUGGGCAGUUUGACUGGGGCGGUCGCCUCCUAAAGAGUAACGGAGGCGUUCAAAGGUUCGCUCAGCUUGAACGGAAAUCAAGCAAAAGAGUGCAAACGCAGAAGCGAGCCUAACUGCGAGACUGACGGGUCGAGCAGUAACGAAAGUUGGAGUUAGUGAUCCGGUGGUAUGUGAGUGGAAAUGCCAUCGCUCAACGGAUAAAAGUUACCCUGGGGAUAACAGGCUGAUCUCCCCCAAGAGUCCACAUCGACGGGGAGGUUUGGCACCUCGAUGUCGGCUCAUCGCAUCCUGGGGCUGUAUUCGGUCCCAAGGGUUUGGCUGUUCGCCAAUUAAAGCGGUACGCGAGCUGGGUUCAGAACGUCGUGAGACAGUUCGGUCCCUAUCUGUCGUGGGCGCAGGAGGUUUGAGGAGAGCUGCCCCUAGUACGAGAGGACCGGGGUGGACGGACCGAUGGUGCACCAGUUGUCACGCCAGUGGCACAGCUGGGCAGCCAAGUCCGGACGGGAUAAGCGCUGAAGGCAUCUAAGCGUGAAGCCCCCUCCAAGAUGAGACCUCCCAUUGGCGACAAGUAAGGCCCCUCGAAGACGACGAGGUUGAUAGGCCGCGAGUGCAAGCGCAGCGAUGUGCUUAGCGGGGCGGUACUAAUAGGCCGAGGACUUGGCCAA